GAUGAACGCUGGCGGCGUGCCUAAUACAUGCAAGUCGAGCGAACGGACGAGAAGCUUGCUUCUCUGAUGUUAGCGGCGGACGGGUGAGUAACACGUGGAUAACCUACCUAUAAGACUGGGAUAACUUCGGGAAACCGGAGCUAAUACCGGAUAAUAUUUUGAACCGCAUGGUUCAAAAGUGAAAGACGGUCUUGCUGUCACUUAUAGAUGGAUCCGCGCUGCAUUAGCUAGUUGGUAAGGUAACGGCUUACCAAGGCAACGAUGCAUAGCCGACCUGAGAGGGUGAUCGGCCACACUGGAACUGAGACACGGUCCAGACUCCUACGGGAGGCAGCAGUAGGGAAUCUUCCGCAAAGGGCGAAAGCCUGACGGAGCAACGCCGCGUGAGUGAUGAAGGUCUUCGGAUCGUAAAACUCUGUUAUUAGGGAAGAACAUAUGUGUAAGUAACUGUGCACAUCUUGACGGUACCUAAUCAGAAAGCCACGGCUAACUACGUG
rnacentral:rRNA from 1 species